UCCCUGGAGGACUAGUGUUAGGCCACGGCGCUUUCACCCCUGUGGCCCAGGUUCAAUUCCUGGCCAGGAAG